UAAUAUUGCUGAGGUAGGUAUUGAUUUUAUAUUUUAAGAAAUUAUAACAAUAUAACAACGACAACAUUUGAGUAAAAAUAAUAAUAAUUUUUUUUUUUUUUGACGACAAGUCGUAUUAUAUUUUCAAAACUUAGGUAUCCAAAUCAACGGUUUAUUGGGAUAACAUAUACGUAUGUUCCCACCGAGUAUAUCUAUACAGAUUACGUUACGGUUUUUAAUAGUUAUUUCCAAUUUAUUGUAUCCCUAUGUAUAUACAUAUAAAAAAAAAGGUACUUUGAAGAGCUGCGAGACCGAUGGAAACCAUUUCAGUGUUUAUUAUAAUUUAUCCUAUACAAAUACGGUUAUAGUGUUUUUGAACAAAAUGUUCGUUCAUUGUUGAUCGUUUAAAAGGGUUCUCGAUGAU